AGUUCGUGAUGUGGACAUUUCUGUAACAAAUGCCUAAACCUUUCCUAUUCUUUAUACAAUGAUUCACUCUCUUGUUGCCUAAAAUUAGUUUUGUCCAUUCUAAACUU